AAAUAUACCAAGGGACAAAAGAAGAGAUGGAACAUAUAUAAAGAUGAAUUUUAUAUAAAAUUCAUCUUUAUAUAUGUUCCAUCUCUUCUUUUGUCCCUU
rnacentral:sRNA from 1 species